GACGAACGCUGGCGGCGUGCUUAACACAUGCAAGUCGAACGGAAAGGCCCUGCUUUUGUGGGGUGCUCGAGUGGCGAACGGGUGAGUAACACGUGAGUAACCUGCCCUUGACUUUGGGAUAACUUCAGGAAACUGGGGCUAAUACCGGAUAGGAGCUCCUGCUGCAUGGUGGGGGUUGGAAAGUUUCGGCGGUUGGGGAUGGACUCGCGGCUUAUCAGCUUGUUGGUGGGGUAGUGGCUUACCAAGGCUUUGACGGGUAGCCGGCCUGAGAGGGUGACCGGCCACAUUGGGACUGAGAUACGGCCCAGACUGCUACGUGAGGCAGCAGUGGGGAAUAUUGCACAAUGGGCGGAAGUCUGAUGCAGCAACGCCGCGUGCGGGAUGACGGCCUUCGGGUGGUAAACCGCUUUCGCCUGUGACGAAGCGUGAGUGACGGUAAUGGGUAAAGAAGCACCGGCUAACUACGUG
rnacentral:rRNA from 1 species